CACCGCCCGUCACACCAUGGGAGUUUGUUGCACCAGAAGCAGAUAGCUUAACCUUCGGGAGGGCGCUUGCCACGGUGUGGCCGAUGACUGGGGUG
rnacentral:rRNA from 1 species